GCAAAGAGGGGGGGGGGCGUGGGUGUAAGGCGUGGGGUGGGGAGGUUGGCCGGGAUUAGGGAGCUUAAAGUGCGGGGAGGGUGGUUGUCGGGUUGUUAGGGAAAACUCACAACGCAAUGGUGGGCGUGCGGGCGAUACGGGCAGACUGGAGUACUGCAGGGGAGACUGGAAGUCCUGGGGUAGCGGUGGAAUGCGCAGAUAUCAGGAGGAACACCGGUGGCGAAGGCGGGUCUCUGGGCAGUAACUGACGCUGAGGAGCGAAAGCGUGGGGAGCGAACAGGAUUAGAUACCCGGGUAGUC
rnacentral:rRNA from 1 species